AAUCAUGCCUCAGUACGGCGAGUGAGCGGCAGAGCUCAAAUUUGAAAGCUGGCUCCUUCGGGGUCCGCAUUGUAAUUUGCAGAGGAUGUUUCGGGAGCAGCCCCCAUCUAAGUGUCCUGGAACGGACCGUCAUAGAGGGUGAGAAUCCCGUAUGGGAUGGGGUGUCUGCGCCCAUGUGAAACUCCUUCGACGAGUCGAGUUGUUUGGGAAUGCAGCUCUAAAUGGGUGGUAAAUUUCAUCUAAAGCUAAAUAUUGGCCGGAGACCGAUAGCGCACAAGUAGAGUGAUCGAAAGAUGAAAAGCACUUUGAAAAGAGAGUUAAAAAGCACGUGAAAUUGUUGAAAGGGAAGCGCUUGCGAUCAGACUCGCCUUGGGGGUUCAGCCGGCAUUCGUGCCGGUGUACUUCCCCCAGGGCGGGCCAGCGUCGGUUUGGGUGGCCGGUCAAAGGCCCUUGGAAUGUAACGCCUCUCGGGGCGUCUUAUAGCCAAGGGUGCCAUGCGGCCUACCUGGACCGAGGAACGCGCUUCGGCUCGGACGCUGGCAUAAUGGUCGUAAGCGACCCGUCUUGAACCACGGACCAA
rnacentral:rRNA from 1 species